rnacentral:siRNA from 1 species
AUAGCUGGUUCAUGUGUUUUAUA